rnacentral:lncRNA from 1 species
CUUCAAUGACCUUCCUGUACAUGUAAAAGCACACCUGUCUGCAUGGCAGCAGUUGGACCUCACAAUGUGGAUUGUGCCUUCACCCUGAACUGUCUAUGAUGCCCUAUCGUCAUAGUGAUGGGAUUAGGGAUCUCUUGCCCUUUGCUCUGCCCCUGUCUGUGCCAG